UUGGUGUUGUUACAGGGCAGCAAAUUUGACAUUUUUUAGUUUAAAAAACAAUUACAAUCGCGUACUCUCAUUUUUCUUACAACUACGAUCCUCACGUCGUAGUUUAUUUUUUUAAAAGCCGUAUACAUAACCGCGUGCGUAACAUUGUGGACCGCAUGUUACGGUGGUGCACGUUACAUUUGGUAGAGCGGAUCGGUGUAGGCCUUUUACACCGAUGGCUGGCCAUGUGUUCGCUGUGAGCCGUGGUCAAUCCACUGCUGGAUGAAGGCCCUUCACACACCCACCCACCCCCAUCCGCCGUGUAAUCACCGAGCGCAGCUGCGGCUCCAUAGUCGCAUGCGGGCCUAUGGCUCCUCCCCCCCCCCACCCCUCAAGAUGAACUAAAAAAAGUGAAUGUUAAAUAUAAAUUAACUUUAAUGUAAUUGAUUAAAUGUCGGGGAAUAGGUCACUACGGAAUGUCUUGGUGACAGACUGUACGAGAAAAUUGUAUUGUCAGAAUGUGUUUAUCUGCUGUGUAUAUGUUUCUGUGUACGUAUACCCAUUAGCUCAGCGCGCUUGCGUGUCUGUGAUGCGGCUCUUUAACUAUUUUGAUCAAAAGAUGGAAAUAAACUUAAGUUUUAUAAAAGCAACGGUUUUAUAAACAACUUCGUUUAACUCGCGGUCCAGAAGUUCGUCAAUGGCGCCUGAGACACGCGGCGCCUGCGUUCUGUGCGAGCCGAUUACACAGUUUAGGGACCGCGGCGUUUUUGACCUACACACAAAUAUAUAAAUAAUUAAUAAGGCGUCCAUACAAAAAUUGAAAUUGCUUGAAUGGAGGCAAUUACAGUAAUUGAUUAAUUGAUUUCGAUUUCCAUACAGGCAAUGCAUUGUAAACGGAUCUGAGUACGUGUGCAAAAUUUUGAAUUUGACAACAGGAAGUAGACUAACUUUUGAUUACAAGAUUUUACCACUACAAACACAAGUGAAGUUGAAUAAACUCCUUAAAAAAGGUUUUUUUUCAAGCAACGGUUCUAUUUAGAAGUGUUCUAAAAAGUAAAUAACUCGAUUGAACGGGAAAUGGGCGACAACUUAAUUACAAGAGACGCAGCGUCUGCUUUCUGUGCAAGCCGAUUCCACAGUUUAGGGACCGCGGCGUUUUUGACCUACACAAAAAUAUAAUUAAUAUGCCGUCCAUGAAAAUAUUGUAAUUGCUUGAAAGGAGGCAAUUAAUUGAUUAUUUGAUGUCGACUUUAAUACAGGCUUGCAUUGUCACCGGAUCUGAGUACGUGUGCAAAAUUAGGGAUUGAUUGGACAACGCCAAGUGGACAAAAUUUAGAUUACAAGAUUUGACCACCUCACAAUAGUCAAGUUAAGUAAAACUUUGACUAAAAGCCAUUUAAUUUUUUGGAAUUGACUGAUCAACAGAAAGUAGACUAACUUUUGAUUACAAGAUUAGACCACGACAAGCACAAGUGAAGUUAAAUAAAACCAUUUGAACCUCAUUUGCCAGGUAAAAAACCAAUUAUCUUAACCGUUGAAAAAAAAACCCAACGAAGUGGGUCUCUGCUCUCUUCUUGGAAAGGUUGCCAAGGCCCUGGUGUCAACUAGCGACCACAAGCGACCUUCCUCCCCCCCCAUUGCUCCAUCUCCACGGCCGAAGUGCCCUGCAUUUGUCCCUUAAGAGCCCACAUUAGACAACCAAGGAUGGCCUCCCACGCGUCAACGUCGUGCACCAUUCCUUUCUCUCAGAUUAGUUUACGGCCCAUGUUGACGGCGUUCCCCUCUUCCUUUGGCUUGCCCGAUCGAUCAAUGGUUGUCAGUCUCGACCCAUCUUGACGCGGCCCGCACGAGCCCCCCGACUCUCAAUAUGCGAUGGUGCCAUCAAAGCCAAUGUCAAGCGGAGCCGUCUCUGCGAGCGUUUUUUUGGCAACGCUGGUUUUCAAUUUUUCCUCGAGUGCCCAUUGUAGUGACCCUCACGAUGUCUCUGCUGGUUUGUCUCGUUCGUGCAGAACGUCUGAUACGUUACUUUGUUUUAGAUUUGAAGCUUUCGUUACUGUAAGGAUCCAUACUCUUUGGUUUUUUUGGUAAAGUCACGUAGGUUAAAAAAACCACAAAGCUCUCAACUUGAUACAGUAAUUUUGCUGUGACGGUUCCACCUGAAGACGGAGGCUUGUGUUGCCUCAAACGUGAUUUAAUUUAUUUGUUUUAUUUUUUAACCUACGUGACUUUACCGAAAACACCAAAGAGUACUUUGUAUUGUUUGUUGCACUGAUUAAAACGUGCCCGGAGAUAUUCGCUAGGUGGCGUUCGUGUACCGCAAUUUGUCGAGCCGUUCUCGUUCAAUCCAAGAUGAGCACUCAUGUCAGAUGGCGCAACCGGGUACCCGAUACCCGUACCCUACCUGAUACCCGGCUACCCGUACCCGGCCGGGUACGGGUACCCGUUUGCGACCCUGGUGCGGCCGGGUACGGGUAGACCAUGAGACACUGGUGAGUAACCGUUUGUCACUCAUUUCCCAACGUCUUGUCUCUUCUCACAAUUCAAGUUCCUAGAAUCAACUCACCCGCGCCUGCAACAUGGCUUCAUCCCAGAGGUCGCAAUCAGGUACCCGAUACCCGUACCCUACCCGUACCCAGCCGGGUACGGGCAGGGUACGGGUACGGCCGGGUACGGGUACCCGUUUGCGACCCUGGUGCGGCCGGGUACGGGUACGGAAUCAAAACCCGUUUGCGACCUCUGACCCACGUACGACCACGUGCGCGCACACACAGUAUAGUUUACACAUUCCAUCAGCCUCGCAGCUUCCUGGGAAGUGCUUCUUGGUAGCCGCGUUGGAUUCAAUGCAAGGUCACUUUUUGGUGACCCUGAUCACUUGCCAUUGAGAUUUUCCUGACUUAUUGGGUCCUCGCUUGGUUAAACAAAAUUAACUUAAACUCAUGCCCGGGUUUUUACUUUCAAUGUCUAAUGUGCAGUUAGGGUUGUUAAACAAAUGAGGCUGGAUGCUGUUAAAUUAGAAAGCCAUCCUUAAAAAGGAGUCGUACUUUUUCCCCUCCAUCCAAUUUUUAAGAUUAUUUUGGUGAACCAGAUCGCAUUUGCAAGCGUGACCUGGAUCCGUGUGAUUGUGAGCUUCAAUCAAUGUGAAUUUGUGAAUCUGAACUCCCUUGAUGCGCGUGAUUUAUCCCUAUCGGAUCUUUUUACUGCACGUCUUUAGGCGGUCUCGUUUGCUCCGUUAGUUUAAAAACUAAGCAUAUAAUUUGCACGAUUAAACGUGUUUCUCUUGAGCGUAGAGAAUGGAUUUGGAUGAAGAAAUCAAUUGCACGUCUCUUGCUAAUUAUUGAGGGAGCCUCGCUUUGCACUAUUGAAAUGAAUUGAUGUUAUGCGAGCUUAUUGUGUUAGAAACGUGCUUGUGGUGAUUAAUUUAACAUGCUUUUUUUGGAUUUAAUAAAGUGCCAGACGGUGUCGCGUCUUGUUUCAAUGCGUGUAAUUUUAACAUUGUAUGAUGGUUUAAGCAAUGUCUGUUUAAUGUUCUUGGGUAUGAACAACGAGGGCGCAAACGUGUUCUUUGCUAGGGGAAUACGUUUAUACGUUUUAAUUAACAGUACUUGACAUCAGCUACUCAGAAAGUCAACUCGUUUAUUAAGGCUUAAUUACAAACAACACUGUUAUGCAGUAGUUGCGACUUUUUAUACAAAAAAUCCUCUACGGUUCCUUGAUAAUAAUGCCAAUUAUUUACCAAAGAAAUCUUCACUGAGACUUGAAGGUCCAUGACAUUAAUUAGUGUUUGGUCUCUUGCGUUUGAAGAACAGGAGAACGUGGAUAAAACCCACACGUGUGAGGGGUUAAUGGUCCUGUCAUCUGGCGGGUUUGCAUUAAAACGCCUACAGUACCAAGCCUCGUGGUCACCCAUCAAAGUAGUAAAUAACCCAAGCUGAAGCCUGAUUUGCUUCAGGGGGAACAAAACUGACCAGUGAUUUUUUGUCACGGGCAAAAAUGAAACUAUAAAGAUCCUAAAACCACCAAAGAUGGAAUCAGGAAAUUGCACAACCGUAAUUGUAAGUGUGUGGUUAUUUGCCUUGCUUGGGCCAGGCAUUUUGUUGUUUGGCUACAUUUUCCUUGUCCACUGAGCAAAUAAGGUUUUCCGUAAUAGCGAGUCAAAUUGUAUUUCCAAUACACUGCUGGUGUGUUUGCCGACGUACAGCAUGAAUUGGAGGUCUGUUAUGGCGACUAAACUUAGAGCAAACCAGAAUUGCAAAGGGAGAAAACACGCGAUGAAUCAUAAAUUGCAUAUGCGCUUCAUUGUUGGCCGCAUCAACACUGAUCAGUGGCUUUUGGCGCGACAUUGCAAGCAGCUGGACUGGACGACGCUCGAAAGAGACUGCAGAUCGUGAAUGAAUGGUGGAGAGUGUCGCGCGUGCACAUCAACCCUCCGAUAUUUUGGGAUGGGGCCCCUUCUGAUUGCGAUGAUUGUGGGGGGUGCCCGCAAUUGGGAGUUACCGCUUCUGCACAGAGAAUUGGCCGGCGCUCUUCUCCCAUGAGCCGGACCGCACCGCGUGCAGAUAGAGCAGCUCCGCUUGGUGCGGGGGAGAAUGGGCCGAGGCUUGGCUGCCAGAGAACGGCAGAUAGGUGCAAUACCCUUCUCACAACGUUCACGUUGGCAUCCAGCAGAAUAUUCUUCGGAAGCAGAAACCGGCCCAGAUGUAUUGCACUAAAGCGCACUUGUUUUUUUUUGUGGGGAGUUCAUAAUUCGGCUUGUUUAAGGUGAGAUGUUGGUGCAUGGGUUUCCAUUGUUGGUUUAUCUGUAAGCGAGUUUAAUCGUGAGCGUGUGGCUGUAGUUUGUGCUUCCGCAGAUCUCUUACGGCCGCUUGAACUCCUGCCCAGACGGGAGCCAGGGUUGGUGACCCGCGGAUGAAUGCCGUGCGUGUGCACCGUUUGUACCCUGAGCUUAUCAGAGCGCAGGACACAGCAACGUUACAGGGGGUGCAAAUUGUGUGGAGAAACACAGUUUUGUUCUCCCAGAUACUGACCCCAUACAAGCCAGUGCUGUUACAAUCCACAUGGAGCCUCACAUGGUCGCUUUAUUUUCGAACACUUGUGCACUCUUAGAUUUAUUUAUGGACCGAGUUAUGUAGAUAACUCGUUCCACAAUUCGGCGGGUCAAAGUUGUGCACCAGGAUAUAAGAGACUUGUGAAUGUGAUGAUGGUGCAUUCCGAGUGGUUGGGUCCUGGGAUUUCCCAAAGAGGCUAUAGUGCACGCUCUGUUUUUCAUGCAAUUUCUGUCAUUGGUGAGACCCAACACACAUGUUACCAGUGUAGUGCUGCUCAACAGUGGCACGGAACCAUGAAGGGGCAAUUCACAUGAAUGUGGACAAUGGAAUAAAUCUUCCCCUAACACUGCCUCAAUGGUUUAGUGUUGCGAGAUGGUGAAACGCUGCCGCUCACAAGCGCCGUAUUGUUUCUGCGCGUGGCGAUGUCGCGUAUCCGUUGAGAGUUCUGGCGAGACGCUGCGAUUUUAUGCCCCUCGUGCGUAUCCCGGGGCAUGCGUUUGGUUCAAUAACCGAUUUAUUACGAUAACACUGGUCAACACACUUUUUCUGGCAUAAGGUAUUCCAACGGUUUCAAGGUAAUUUUGAGGUGCUGAUUCCAAAUCUGGCAUCAGUUUUUGUCUAUCACAUCAGGUUUUUGAGAUAUCAAAUAUUGCAUUUUCCAUAAAAACUGCAGAAGAAAAAUAUUAAAUAAAUGUGGAUAUCUACAUAAAAUGAUACUAUAAACACUCCUAAAAAUACAGCACCAUAUUUUAACACUAAAGCAGUCACUGACUCGCAACAACUUGCAAUCAUAAAUGACCGAGUUAAUUUCGGGUAAAAUCAGUGAAAAUGAGGUAUGCCGAUAGCAUGAAAAUGAGAUGUGAUAGAGCAAAUCUGAGAUCAGAUUUGGAAUCAGCACCCUGAAAUUAGUCUAAAACAGCUGCAAAAGUCCAGGCCAGAAUUUUUUUGUUGACCAGUGUAAUGGGUGCUUGCGUACUUGGUACACAACGCAUGCUGUGUAUCGGCACAGAAGGCCACUUAAUGUUCCAUACAAAUGAAAGAGUUUCUCUAUUUUAUACAAAGUCGAACUGCAGUGUAGGCCUUCACGAGGGUGCCGCUAUAAAUAAGUCCAGGAGUAAGCUUAACAGAUGCACUGUCAGGUUAACAAAAUCCAAACCAUGCAAUGCAAUUUAUUUAUGCAGGAAUUCCGUUUAUUUAUGCUGGAGAGUAAAGUCUAAUGUAAAAUAAACUUUAGAUGAAAGUAA